rnacentral:tRNA from 1 species
GCCUUGCUGGCUCAGUUGGUAGAGCAUGUGAUUCUCAACCUCAGGGUCAUGAGUUCAAGUCCCACAUUGGGCA